GACGAACCGUGCGAACGUUGUUCGGAAUCACUGGGCUUAAAGGGCGCGUAGGCGGGCCCGCAAGUCAGGGGUGAAAGCCCACGGCUCAACCGUGGAAGUGCCUUUGAUACUGCGGGCCUUGAGGGAGGUAGGGGCGUGCGGAACUUCCGGUGGAGCGGUGAAAUGCGUAGAUAUCGGAAGGAACACCGGUGGCGAAAGCGGCGCGCUGGACCACAUCUGACGCUGAGGCGCGAAAGCUAGGGGAGCAAACAGG
rnacentral:rRNA from 1 species